CGUGUAGGCGGCCAGGUAAGUCAGAUGUGAAAGUCCCGGGCUCAACUCGGGAAGUGCAUUUGAAACUGCUUGGCUUGAGUAAGAGAGAGGAUAGUGGAAUUCCUGGUGUAGAGGUGAAAUUCGUAGAUAUCAGGAGGAACACCGGUGGCGAAGGCGGCUUUCUGGCUCUAUACUGACGCUGAGACGCGAAAGCGUGGGUAGCAAACAGGAUUAGAUACCCUGGUAGUCC
rnacentral:rRNA from 1 species